rnacentral:rRNA from 1 species
GACGAACGCUGGCGGCGUGCUUAACACAUGCAAGUCGAACGGAGAGGCCCCUUUGGGGGUACUCGAGUGGCGAACGGGUGAGUAACACGUGAGUAACCUGCCCUUGACUUCGGGAUAACUUCAGGAAACUGGGGCUAAUACCGGAUAGGAAUCCUUGCUGCAUGGUGGGGGUUGGAAAGCUUCGGCGGUUUUGGAUGGACUCGCGGCUUAUCAGCUUGUUGGUGGGGUAGGGGCUUACCAAGGCUUUGACGGGUAGCCGGCCUGAGAGGGCGACCGGCCACAUUGGGGCUGAGAUACGGCCCAGACUCCUACGGGAGGCAGCAGUGGGGAAUAUUGCACAAUGGGCGGAAGCCUGAUGCAGCAACGCCGCGUGCGGGAUGACGGCCUUCGGGUUGUAAACCGCUUUCAGCAGGGGCGAAGCUUGUGGUGACGGUACCUGCAGAAGAAGCACCGGCUAACUACGUG